rnacentral:rRNA from 1 species
UACGUAGGGUGCAAGCGUUGUCCGGAAUUAUUGGGCGUAAAGAGCGUGUAGGCGGCCCGAUUAGUCCGCUGUGAAAGUCCAGGGCUCAACCCUGGAAUGCCGGUGGAUACUGUCGGGCUAGAGUCCGGAAGGGGCGAGUGGAAUUCCUGGUGUAGCGGUGAAAUGCGUAGAUAUCAAGCGGAACACCGGUGGCGAAGGCGGCCUUCUGGACAGUGACUGACGCUGAGACGCGAAAGCGUGGGGAGCAAACAGG